GAUGAACGCUGGCGGCGUGCCUAAUACAUGCAAGUCGAGCGAACGGACGAGAAGCUUGCUUCUCUGAUGUUAGCGGCGGACGGGUGAGUAACACGUGGAUAACCUACCUAUAAGACUGGGAUAACUUCGGGAAACCGUAGCUAAUACCGGAUAAUAUUUUGAACCGCAUGGUUCAACAGUGAAAGACGGUCUUGCUGUCACUUAUAGAUGGAUCCGCGCUGCAUUAGCUAGUUGGUAAGGUAACGGCUUACCAAGGCAACGAUGCGUAGCCGACCUGAGAGGGUGAUCGGCCACACGGGAACUGAGACACGGUCCAGACUCCUACGGGAGGCAGCAGUAGGGAAUCUUCCGCAAUGGGCGAAAGCCUGACGGAGCAACGCCGCGUGAGUGAUGAAGGUCUUCGGAUCGUAAAACUCUGUUAUUAGGGAAGAACAUAUGUGUAAGUAACUGUGCACAUCUUGACGGUACCUAAUCAGAAAGCCACGGCUAACUACGUG
rnacentral:rRNA from 1 species